rnacentral:lncRNA from 1 species
AACGCCCGCCGCCAGGCGGAGCUGGGAAGGGAGGGCGGGGAGGUGCGUCUGCAGUCCCGGGUUCGGGCCCUAGUAGUCGGUGGCUGGUCGGUGACUGGGACCAGACCGUCGCCUCCUCCCUUUUACAGCUUUAAGUCUGUGACCCGAGGCCUCUCUGUAUAUUCCCGUGGGGUUGGGCCUAGUUGUCCUGGGAGAAACUAGAUGGAUGAGGAGUAUUUCCGAGACAGGUCCCAGGGCCAGCGCAGCCUUUUCUGUUGCAGAACCGCGACUGUUGUUUUGGGAUCCAGGCCGGAGGGUUUGUUGCUUGUGUUCAUUCCAGUUAACCAUUAGUACUCGAGAAGGUGGUACAGAACGCAUCUAUCCCCUUAGAAGAAAAGAAAUUAAAAGCCAAACUAAACUGGGAUAUAUAUUAAUAUAGGAAACUACCACUGAGACAUAGGAAAGUGUAUUAAAAUAUAACUAGUGAGGUGCUAUGUAUAAUUCAGAGGAAGGGGAAAUUAUGCAUGGGCCAGACUACUAACAAAAGGCUCCAAAGCCUGGGAUACGCUGAGGGCCUUUCCAUAACAGAAAA